CGAAAGACAGUCUGGAAAAAAUGAAGUAUGGAACGCGUACGAAAAAUAAUGGCGAGCACCGCUCACAGAGUACUUUGUACGCUAUCAUAGACAUCUUUGGCUUUUGUCAUUUGUCAGUGUCAGUAAGUCAAUCGUUUAGUUUGAAAUAUAAUUUUAAAUCAUAAAUAAAUUAGGAUUUAACAGUUAUUUAUAUAUUAUUAUUACUGUGGAUAAGUGCAGUGUUUGUGUGGAGGUACCUAACUAUUAGUGUUGCUUGAUAUUAUUGAUAAAGAUGUAAACAGUGGGUUAAGAUGACCGGUAAGGAGGAUCUGGUUUAUGUGCCUAUUGAAAAGCUACAUCAACUUAAACGAAUUUGUGGCAAUCAUUUUCUACCACAACAUUUUAAGAACACAAU